rnacentral:rRNA from 1 species
AUUGAACGCUGGCGGCAGGCCUAACACAUGCAAGUCGAGCGGAUGAGAGGAGCUUGCUUCUCGAUUCAGCGGCGGACGGGUGAGUAAUGCCUAGGAAUCUGCCUGGUAGUGGGGGACAACGUUUCGAAAGGAACGCUAAUACCGCAUACGUCCUACGGGAGAAAGCAGGGGACCUUCGGGCCUUGCGCUAUCAGAUGAGCCUAGGUCGGGUUAGCUAGUUGGUGAGGUAAUGGCUCACCAAGGCGACGAUCCGUAACUGGUCUGAGAGGAUGAUCAGUCACACUGGAACUGAGACACGGUCCAGACUCCUACGGGAGGCAGCAGUGGGGAAUAUUGGACAAUGGGCGAAAGCCUGAUCCAGCCAUGCCGCGUGUGUGAAGAAGGUCUUCGGAUUGUAAAGCACUUUAAGUUGGGAGGAAGGGUUGUAGAUUAAUACUCUGCAAUUUUGACGUUACCGACAGAAUAAGCACCGGCUAACUCUGUGCCAGCAGCCGCGGUAAUAC